rnacentral:rRNA from 1 species
CCUGACUGCUAUCGGAUUGAUACUAAGCCAUGCGAGUCGUUGUAGCAAUACAAGGCAGACGGCUCAGUAACACGUAGUCAACCUACCCUAUGGUCGGGGAUAAUCUCGGGAAACUGAGCAUAAUACCCGAUAGGUCAUAAUGCCUGGAAUGGUUUAUGGCCCAAAUGAUUUAUCGCCAUAGGAUGGGACUGCGGUCUAUCAGCUUGUUGGUGAGGUAAUGGCCCACCAAGGCAAUAACAGAUACGGGCUCUGAGAGGAGAAGCCCGGAGAUGGGUACUGAGACACGGACCCAGGCCCUAUGGGGCGCAGCAGGCGAGAAAACUUUGCAAUGUGCGAAAGCACGACAAGGUUAAUCCGAGUGUUUCCUGCUAAAGGAAUCUUUUGUCGAUCCUAAAAACACCGAUGAAUAAGGGGUGGGCAAGUUCUGGUGUCAGCCGCCGCGGUAAAACCAGCACCUCAAGUGGUCAGGAGGAUUAUUGGGCCUAAAGCAUCCGUAKCCGGCUGUGUUAGUCUCCGGUUAAAUCCAUAUGCUUAACAUAUGGGCUGCCGGAGAUACUGCACAGCUAGGGAGUGGGAGAGGUAGACGGUACUUGGUASGAAGGGGUAAAAUCCUUUAAUCUACUGAUGACCACCUGUGGCGAAGGCGGUCUACUAGAACACGUCCGACGGUGAGGGAUGAAAGCUGGGGGAGCAAACCGGAUUAGAUACCCGGGUAGUCCCAGCUGUAAACAAUGCAAACUCAGYGAUGCGCUGGCUUGUGGCCAGCGCAGUGCCGCAGGAAGCCGUUAAGUUUGCCGCCUGGGAAGUACGUACGCAGUAUGAWACUUAAGGACUGGCGKGGAGCACACAGGGUGAKCUGCGUUC